rnacentral:rRNA from 1 species
GACGAACGCUGGCGGCGUGCUUAACACAUGCAAGUCGAACGGUGAAGCUCCAGCUUGCUGGAGUGGAUCAGUGGCGAACGGGUGAGUAACACGUGAGCAACCUGCCCCAGACUCUGGAAUAAGCGCUGGAAACGGCGUCUAAUACUGGAUACGAGAUCAAGCCGCAUGGUUCGGGUCUGGAAAGUUUUUCGGUUUGGGAUGGGGUCGCCGCCUCUCAGCUUGUUGGUGUGGUAAUGGCUCACCAAGGCGACGACGGGUAGCCGGCCUGAGAGGGCGACCGGCGACACUGGGACUGAGACACGGCCCAGACUCCUACGGGAGGCAGCAGUGGGGAAUAUUGCACAAUGGGCGAAAGCCUGAUGCAGCGACGCCGCGUGAGGGAUGACGGCCUUCGGGUUGUAAACCUCUUUCGGCAGGGAAGAAGCGAAAGUGACGGUACCUGCAGAAGAAGCACCGGCUAACUACGUG